UGUUGCAGCAUUCUCGCCCAUGCUGCAUUCUUCUCGUUUUUCAACUGUUCACAUUCGCCGUCGUACCAGUCGUUUCUGUGAUUCGGAGUCGCGAAACCUAGUGCUGUAGCCGAGAUACUACCUAUGGCGGAUCGGAUGUCCCUCCAGCCAUCUUCAAGUGUAGCUGCGCCAAGCUGCUCUUCCGUUGGUAGGGCCACUGCUAACUGCUGCGCGUAGUCUUGAGCCACUUCUACGUUACGAAGUUGCUCGAUGUUGAGCCGCGGCGUUAGACUUCGACACGUGGUGAUAACUGUCGAAAGUUUUGAGCGCAUGCAUACAGCGACUAAGUAGUGAUCCGAAUCUAUAUUCGCACUGCGGUAUGUGCGGACGUUGGUUAUAUCUGAGAAGAAUUUACCGUCGAUUAGAACGUGGUCGAUUUGGUUUUCUGUUUGAUGGUCGGGUGAUCUCCAGGUGGCUUUGUGGAUAUCUUUGCGGGGGAAGAAGGUGCUUCGGACUACCAUACCACGGGAGGCUGCAAAGUUUACGCAUCGCUGGCCGUUAUCAUUCGAUACGGCGUGCAGGCUGUUUCGCCCGAUUACCGGUCUGUACAUUUCCUCCCUUCCUACCUGCGCGUUCAUGUCGCCGACAACAAUUUU